rnacentral:lncRNA from 1 species
GAGAGUUAGUGAGUAAAGCUGACAGCAGAAGGUGAGGCCCGUCCGAGAGGCAAAGGAGCUUGGAUCUUUUUCUUGGUAAAUUAGGGAGUAAUGUGAUCUGAUUUCUAUUUUAAAAGAUCAUUCUGGCUGUGUGUGAAAUGUGCGCUUAUAGAGGGUCAAGAGUAGAAAAAGGAAGACCAGCUAGGAAGCUCUGACCGUAAAGCAGGCAGGCAGUGAUGGAGUUUGGAAGAGAGUGUCGCAGUAGAGAUGGGGAGACGAGAUCCGAUUUGGGGUCUUAACUGGACGUGGCAGGAGAGAAGAUGAAAUCAGCUCUUUCAUCAAGGAUCGAAGUCAGCCGUCAAAGAAACUCUCACUCCAACUGUCUGAGGGAGAAAAUAGGUCCUGAGGACCUACAGAACCCGAGGGGGACUCCAGAGACCCCAGAGCCAGCCAGCACCAGAUGCUGACCCA